rnacentral:misc_RNA from 1 species
GAAAUGCGAUAAGUAAUGUGAAUUGCAGAAUUCAGUGAAUCAUCGAAUCUUUGAACGCACCUUGCGCUCCUUGGUAUUCCUUGGAGCAUGCCUGUUUGAGUAUCAUGAAAUCUUCAAAGUAAAUCUUUUGUUAACUCAAUUGGUUUCUACUUUGGUAUUGGAGGUCUUUGCAGCUUCACACCUGGUCCUCUUUGUUCAUUAGCUGGAUCUCAGUGUUAUGCUUGGUUCCACUCGGCGUGAUAAGUUAUCUAUCGCUGAGGACACUGUAAAAGGUGGCCAAGGUAAAUGCAGAUGAACCGCUUCUAAUAGUCCAUUGACUUGGACAAUACUUUUAUGAUCUGAUCUCAAAUCAGGUAGGACUACCCGCUGAACUUAAGC